AUCUCUAUAAUUUUACUAUCAAAUCCACUUUCAAUAAUCAAUAUCAAAAUUAUUUCCAUAUAGAUAAUUCUAUUGUAAUUCAUCACUACUUAAACAUAAGCUACACCUUGAUUUGAAAUAAUUUUUUAUUAAAAUUUAUGAAAAUUAUUAUUCUUUUAAAAUAUUCUGAUAACAACGGUAUAUAAACUGAUUACAAAUCUAAGUAAGGUUCAAUGUGGUUUAUCAAUUAUAGGACAAAUUCCUCUGAAUAGACUAAAAUACCGCCAAAUUUUUUAAGUUUCAAGAUCAUAACUAUUAC
rnacentral:rRNA from 1 species